rnacentral:rRNA from 1 species
GAAACUGGCAGGCUAGAGUCUUGUAGAGGGGGGUAGAAUUCCAGGUGUAGCGGUGAAAUGCGUAGAGAUCUGGAGGAAUACCGGUGGCGAAGGCGGCCCCCUGGACAAAGACUGACGCUCAGGUGCGAAAGCGUGGGGAGCAAACAGGAUUAGAUACCCUGGUAGUCCACGCCGUAAACGAUGUCGACUUGGAGGUUGUGCCCUUGAGGCGUGGCUUCCGGAGCUAACGCGUUAAGUCGACCGCCUGGGGAGUACGGCCGCAAGGUUAAAACUCAAAUGAAUUGACGGGGGCCCGCACAAGCGGUGGAGCAUGUGGUUUAAUUCGAUGCAACGCGAAGAACCUUACCUACUCUUGACAUCCAGAGAAC